UUUCCGUAGGUGAACCUGCGGAAGGAUCAUUACUGAGUGAGGGCCCUCUGGGUCCAACCUCCCACCCGUGUUUAUUGUACCUUGUUGCUUCGGUGAGCCCGCCUCACGGCCGCCGGGGGGCAUCUGCCCCCGGGCCCGCGCUCGCCAGAGGCUUUUAAAAUCUUGCUUGCAAUGAGUCUGAGCGAUACAAAAAAUGCGAAAAACUUUCAACAACGGAUCUCUUGGUUCUG
rnacentral:misc_RNA from 1 species